GUGGGGAAUAUUGGACAAUGGGCGCAAGCCUGAUCCAGCCAUGCCGCGUGAGUGAUGAAGGCCUUAGGGUUGUAAAGCUCUUUCACCGAUGAAGAUAAUGACGGUAGUCGGAGAAGAAGCCCCGGCUAACUUCGUGCCAGCAGCCGCGGUAAUACGAAGGGGGCUAGCGUUGUUCGGAUUUACUGGGCGUAAAGCGCACGUAGGCGGUUUGUUAAGUCAGAGGUGAAAUCCCGGAGCUCAACUCCGGAACUGCCUUUGAUACUGGCAAGCUAGAGUCCGGAAGAGGUAAGUGGAACUCCUAGUGUAGAGGUGGAAUUCGUAGAUAUUAGGAAGAACACCAGUGGCGAAGGCGGCUUACUGGUCCGGAACUGACGCUGAGGUGCGAAAGCGUGGGGAGCAAACAGGAUUAGAUACCCUUGUAGUCC
rnacentral:rRNA from 1 species